UACGUAGGGUCCAAGCGUUAAUCGGAAUUACUGGGCGUAAAGCGUGCGUAGGCGGCUUCGCAAGUCCGAUGUGAAAUCCCCGGGCUUAACCUGGGAACUGCGUUGGAAACUAUGAAGCUAGAGUGCGGCAGAGGGGGGUGGAAUUCCAGGUGUAGCAGUGAAAUGCGUAGAUAUCUGGAGGAACACCGAUGGCGAAGGCAGCCCCCUGGGCCAGCACUGACGCUCAUACACGAAAGCGUGGGGAGCAAACAGG
rnacentral:rRNA from 1 species